UAACCCUGGAACAUAGUGUCAACAUCCAUUUAGAUCAACAAUGUGGACAGUGAGAUGCCCACACAGAUGAGGCAGAAAGAUUCUUCAUAGUAUGAUUCAUAGUGUUUGUCCUCCACAUAGACUUGUCUCAGUUGUCUCAAUAUCCAGCGACCCAAAAUUGACCAUCUCAUCCCUAUAUGGACAAUUCAGCCCUGAGGGGGGAGCUGUCACAUCCUUCAAGAGCCGUGUGUGUGUGUGUGUGUGUGUGUGUGUGUGUGUGUGUGUGUGCGUGCGUGCAUGCGCGUGCGUGCGUGUGUGUGUUGUGUGCGUUCAUUGCCUUGCAAUGAAACCUACAAGUCAUGCAAUGCACUCCUUAUAGUUCAUGGCCCCUGUCCCACAGUUAUUACUUAAAAUAUAUUCUGCUAUCUCAGAAAGAGACUAGGACACAUUAACUGUUUAGAAAACGUAAAGAAACAAUAAUUGUCACUUGAACAGCAGCAUUCAUGUGUUCCCUUAUUUAUUGUCUCAAUAACCUGGGUUCAGAUCCAUUAAUCACUUUUAAUUUCAUAUGUACUUGUUCAACUGUGGCACUGAAACCCUUUCUACCCAUGUGGCAGAGAUAACUCAAACAUACAUGCUAAAGUUUGAAUCAAGUUUUAUUAACUACUGAUACUAUUUUCUUUGGAAUCAUGUUGUCAAGUGUUUCCUUUACAAAUGUGUUCUUUCAGUGCAGAAAAGUCAAUAUAAUAGCAUUUAAGGCAGAAACUCUGGGACAGAGUAGGCCUUAUAAAGCUGAAUUAAUUAGGAGGAAACUAAUUGUAUCUUAUAUGCAUUGUAUAAAGAAAAUGUGAAAAGAAAAA